AUACAGAGGGUGCAAGCGUUAAUCGGAAUUACUGGGCGUAAAGCGCACGUAGGUGGUUCAUUAAGUCAGAUGUGAAAGCCCCGGGCUCAACCUGGGAACUGCAUUUGAAACUGGUGAGCUAGAGUAUGGUAGAGGUAAGUGGAAUUCCAGGUGUAGCGGUGAAAUGCGUAGAUAUCUGGAGGAACAUCAGUGGCGAAGGCGACUUACUGGACCAAUACUGACACUGAGGUGCGAAAGCGUGGGGAGCAAACAGGAGUAGAAACCCUAGUAGUCC
rnacentral:rRNA from 1 species